rnacentral:rRNA from 1 species
UACGUAGGUGGCAAGCGUUGUCCGGAAUUAUUGGGCGUAAAGCGCGCGCAGGCGGUCCUUUAAGUCUGAUGUGAAGGCCCACGGCUCAACCGUGGAGGGUCAUUGGAAACUGGGGGACUUGAGUGCAGAAGAGGAAAGCGGAAUUCCACGUGUAGCGGUGAAAUGCGUAGAUAUCAAGAGGAACACCAGUGGCGAAGGCGAGUCCCUGGACAACUUCUGACGCUGAGGCACGAAAGCUAGGGGAGCAAACAGG